rnacentral:rRNA from 1 species
UUGGCUCUCGCAUCGAUGAAGAACGCAGCGAAAUGCGAUAAGUAAUGUGAAUUGCAGAAUUCAGUGAAUCAUCGAAUCUUUGAACGCACCUUGCGCUCCUUGGUAUUCCGAGGAGCAUGCCUGUUUGAGUGUCAUUAAAUUCUCAACCUUUAUUAGCUUUUGCUGAUAAUGGCUUGGACUUGGGGGUCUUUUGCGGGCUUUUACUAGUCAGCUCCCCUU